GCUGUAUCCUGUUGCCUGGAAGAAAGCUGCUAGGCCUGCCCACGCUCAAGGGGAGGGACCGUGGCAGGAGCGGGAUCGCUGGGGAACUUCUGAGUCAGGCUGCCACAGGAAGUAACAUCUGAGCUUUCAGCUCAGAUCUGUGAACCUCCAAUGUUUGGGUUCUUCUUCCUCUGCAUGGCUGGAUCCUCACAGUUGUUCCCUGCUGUGGCAUGAACAAAAAAGUAAAGGUAACAUCACUUUCCCUGUGUGACUCCCUCAACUAAAAACUCUUAGCCAGUGUUACUGAGUAACCUGAUUUUAAUAAGCAAGAAGGGGAGUUUCAAAUUAACAUACGUAUCCACAACAAAGUGUGAUUCAAAGCUGAGUAGCUAACGUGGUGCAGAGAGGAGCACAUGGUGCCAUGUUAUAAAGGUGGCUGAUACAACUAUUGGCCCUUUCCAAGCCACUCCUGAACCCGCAGACCACUGGCAAAUAAUCUUCAUAGGCCCAACCCAACAAAUUGCCCUUUUUAUGAAACGCUGACACUCUGGAGAGGGAGGCGGGUCAGAGGAGCAGGAGAAAACCAGCCAUGACAUCGUCACCCCAACCUUCUCUAUGAACCAUCCUCUUCCAAGCUGCUCAGGUGGGCACAGACUUCAGUCUGGGUGAUGAACCAACAAUCCUGAUUGGCAGCAUGUCCUGUGGUGACAGCUGGGAGGGAUGGUUAGUGUCUGCCCUCUCUGCCCAUUCCCCCCACCAACACCGCCGCUCCCUGGAAACUUCUGAUGGGGACCGUUUCCAGCACAGAGGCUUCUUGGCAGCCCAUGUGACUGUCUCACAUUCCUCUGCUCCCAUGCCUGUUUCUCAGGCCGCUGCUGGAUGAGGCUCUCUCCCCACUGCCCCCACCUGCUAGAAUGGUCACUUGGUUUCCAUGACCCCCAUUCAUCCCCACAUCUGGGACAGUCUGUCUCUAGCUUGUCUCACAUGGGCUAUUUAAUUAAUAAUGAUUUAUUAAGAACUCACUACAGAAGCACCUGGCUGGCUUGGUCGGUAAAGCAUGCAACUCUUGAUCUUGGAGUCAUGAGUUCAAGCCCAUCAUUGGGCAUAGAGAUUUCUUAAAAAACAAAAAAAACAAAAAAAAAAAAAAAAGAGAGAAAAAAAAAGAAAGAAAAGAAAAGAAAAAGAACUCCCUAUAGGUGGAUAUUCUUCUAGGUACUGAUAAAAAGAUAUUCCCUAUAUGUGGACAUACAUACACCUCUAUGAGGUAGAGGCUAAGAGCCCCACUUACAGGUCAGAUCCUGCCAUUUAGUGGCAGUGGGCUCCACUUUGGCAGGUUACUUAAACUUUCUGAGCCCCAAUUUCAUCUUCUGUAACGGAGAGAUCAUUAUUCCUACCUUGUAAGACUGGGGUGAGAAUUCAGGGAGAUGAUUUGUGUACAGCACUUAGUACUGUGCCAAGCACCUAAUAAAUAUUUAACAGUACUUCUGUGUGAUCAGCGCAGGACAGACCAUUAGCAGCAAUUUCCCACCCAUGCCAACCUGGAGGUCCAUGAAGACCGGGACCAUAUCUUUUGACUUCAAAGCUACGGCCUCGAUACCUAGCACGACACCCGGCACAGGUUCAACUUUCCAGGGAGCCCGAAGAUCUCCCAAUGUUGCCUAAUUCCGUUUCAAAGUCCACCUUGGAUGAUAAGCAGCAAGUUUGGCCACCUAAGCAGCUGACCAAGGUCUAAAGGACCCCUUAGCACAAAAACAAGUAAACUACGAGACAUCUGUAAACAUCAGAAGUCAAACAGUCCAGUGUCAAGAGCUAUGUGACGAACUGAAAUGAAAGAGAUUGAACUUUGGCUUGGAAAGGAGAAUCGCAAAAUGAGCAGCAUUUGGUAAGCAGCCCCAAGGAAUAAAUGAGGCAGCGUCAGACCUGAUCGUGAACCCCACUAGGCGGAGGAGCUUCCUGAAUUGUCCUUCUGGAAGCCCACGAUGAACCCGUACAGGGAAAAAAGAGUUACCUUCAGUAUUGGGACUACACAAUCCCAUGUGACUGCUUGGAGCAUUGGGAGCAGGCCUCUUUCUCCGGUGACUAAUUGACUAGGAGUCUACUUCUGAGAGUUUCCUGCAGCUCCAAGUUCCUUGAAGCCCCAUCUGAGGCUGUCUUGCCCAGGAGGAGAAGGAGGAGGAGGAGGGAAGAACUGACCUGGAAACAGGAAACAAGGAACAAAGAAACCUAAAUAAGCACUCGGAUCUUCAGCAGCGCUCCGAUCUUCCCCGGCCAGCGUGUUCCCACCUCGUGCAUCGCUGCGGCCACGCCACGGCCACGGAGGGCAUCUCAGGACUACAUUUCCUAGCCUCCAUUACAGCUAGAUAUGACCAUAUGACUGUGUUCAAGCAAAUGGGAUCUGAACAGAAGUGCUGUUUCCAACUACAGAUGAUUCUUUGCAAGAGAAGGGGCAUGUUCUCCCCUCUGUAUUUUUCCCUUUUCCAGUGGUGGACUGAAGCAGUGGUACAGAGCCAUCUUGGACCCCACACACAGGUGGAACAGCCAGGAAUUUUGGAGCAAGAAGAUGGAAGGAACCUGGGCCUCUCACAGUGUCACAGAGCAGAGCCAAAUACUGACUCCAAUGUUCAUGUGAAAGUGAAAUAAAAUCUGAUGCUUUUUAAGCAACUA